rnacentral:rRNA from 1 species
AACGAACGCUGGCGGCAUGCCUAACACAUGCAAGUCGAACGGGAUCCUGGUUUCGGCCAGGUGAGAGUGGCGGACGGGUGAGUAACGCGUGGGAACCUGCCCAGUGGUGGGGGAUAACUGCGGGAAACUGCAGCUAAUACCGCAUGAGCCCGAGAGGGGAAAGAUUUAUCGCCAUUAGAGGGGCCCGCGUUCGAUUAGGUAGUUGGUGGGGUAACGGCCUACCAAGCCGACGAUCGAUAGCUGGUCUGAGAGGAUGAGCAGCCACACUGGGACUGAGAUACGGCCCAGACUCCUGCGGGAGGCAGCAGUGGGAAAUAUUGGACAAGGGGGGCAACCCUGAUCCAGCAAUGCCGCGUGAGUGAUGAAGGCCUUCGGGGUGUAAAGCUCUUUUGCCAGGGACGAUGAUGACGGUACCUGGGGAAUAAGCCCCGGCUAACUUCGUGCCAGCCGCCGCCGUAACAC